GCGAAAACUUUACAAUGCCGGCAACGGCGAUAAGGGGACCUCGAGUGCCAGGUUACAAAUCUGGCUGUCGUGAUGCCUAAAAAGCAUUGCAUAGCAAGGGCCGGGCAAGACCGGUGCCAGCCGCCGCGGUAACACCGGCGGCUCGAGUGGUAACCGUUAUUAUUGGGUCUAAAGGGUCUGUAGCCGGCCGGAUAAGUCUCUUGGGAAAUCCAGCAGCUUAACUCUUGGGCUUUCAGGAGAUACUGUCUGGCUCGAGGCCGGGAGAGGUGAGAGGUACUUCAGGGGUAGGGGUGAAAUCUUGUAAUCCUUGAAGGAACACCAGUGGCGAAGGCGUCUCACCAGAACGGACCUGAAGGCAAGGGACGAAAGCUAGGGGCACGAACC
rnacentral:rRNA from 1 species